GAGAGCGGAAGAGGGAAGAGAGGGCUUGAGGAAGAGAAAGGGAGAAGAGGAAGGAACAGUGGCGCCGGAGGAAAGGGAGACCGCCGCUACAGCUGCGCCACCGCCAUCGCGUCCUGCUGCCUGCGCCGCCACCGUCUAGCUCGAGCCUCCACCGCGCCAUACGUCACCAUCGCGAGGAAGCUCAGAACCGAGGGAGAGAGAGCCGUCGCCGUCGCCGUUCGUGCUCUGUCGUCGCUGCCGUUCGUGAACCAGACACCAUCGCCAUCAGAAGCUCUUGUCGCCGCCGAGAAUCCCAUCACCGCCAGGUCCGCCGCUGCCGAAGCCCCACGCCGCCUCUGUUUCUGGAAACCCUACUGCCAACGCUGAUCUACGGGCGCCGUCGCCGUUGAGCUCCUCCACCACCGUUCGGGUAACUGGGAACGUGGCGGUGAUCACCGGAACCACCAUCGGAGUUACCGUUAUUUCAGUUCAGCCGUUCAUACUUGUUUGGGAUUGAGUUACGGGCCUUGAUUGCUGAGUUCUAUGGAUGUUGUAUAUGGCAUCAAGGUGCUGCGUUGUCACCAGAGCUGCUGUUGCUCCGUUUGCUCGAUUAUUCGAUUGAGUUAAGGCUGUGUUUAGAGGCUGUGGCUGCUGCGGGGACGGUCGAUAUUGAUGCUGUUGCUGUGGAAUAAGAAUAGAAAUGCAGUUUUCCGCAUAG